rnacentral:rRNA from 1 species
AGAGUUUGAUCCUGGCUCAGAACGAACGUUGGCGGCAUGGAUCAGGCAUGCAAGUCGAACGAAUCCCCAUCUGGGCAACUGGGUGGGGGAAGUGGCGAGAGGGGCAGUAAGGCGUGGGUAACUUGCCCCGGGGUUUGGAAUAGCCAUUCUAACGGAUGGGUAAUACCGAAUGCCCUGUCUGGUUGGCAUCAACUGGACAGGAAAGAUUUAUCGCCCCGGGAGAGGCUCACGUAGUAUCAGCUAGUUGGUGGGGUAACGGCCCACCAAGGCCAAGAUGCUUAGCAGGUGUGAGAGCACGACCUGCGCCACUGGCACCGAGACACUGGCCAGACUCCUACGGGAGGCUGCAGUCGAGGAUCUUCGGCAAUGGGCGCAAGCCUGACCGAGCGAUGCCGCGUGUGCGAUGAAGGCCUUCGGGUUGUAAAGCACUGUCGAGGGGGAGAAAAGGGCAACCUUGAUCGACCCCUGGAGGAAGCACGGGCUAAGUUCGUGCCAGCAGCCGCGGUAAGACGAACCGUGCGAACGUUGUUCGGAAUCACUGGGCUUAAAGGGCGCGUAGGCGGGCAGUCAAGUCAGAGGUGAAAGCCCACGGCUCAACCGUGGAAGUGCCCCUGAUACUGGCUGUCU